CUGACUGAGCCACCAAGGCACCCUUUGGUCUGAUUUUUCAGAUGCCGUAAUGGCUUGUCUAAGACAAGAAAGGUUGGCUUAAAUAUAGUAGAAAAAAUAAUUUAGGGGAAUUUUCCUUCUUUUGUGUAAAAGAUUUCAAGUCAUGGGCCAAGUUGAAGAGAACACCUGUGCUGUGAUAACAAAGAAGGUGUGUUUUCCGAAAAGUGUUGCAAUCAGAGUUACCGGAUUUGUCAACAUGUGAUUUCUUCAGACAGUGAAUUCUAAGCUGAUCACAGUUUAUCUUUCCCAUUAAAAGAAUCUCAAGUCCUUUUUUAUUUAUGUACUUUUGUAGAAGUACAUUAUUUUUACAAUAAAUGUUGUGGUGAUGAUAA